GUUACUAUGAGCUUAGUCCUUUGGUGAAUAUCUUGAUCCUGCUUCCUCUGUCUCGCUGAUCACAGCUUCUUCAAAUCUGUCUUCUUCUAAGCUUUAUACUGUGACUUUUAGUUUCCAAACUGUGCUGACAAUCCGAUCUUCUUCUUUUGGAUUACAGAUUUCAUGUCAUCUGUCCUUUUGUAAAUUAUCUUCACAUAAAUUGACCAAGAUAUCUAAUUUCCACUGGGGCAGCAAUGACUGAAAACUGCCAAGAAGACACAAAGGCUCAAAACAGGAAAAGAAGAGAGCAGGAUCUACUGGUCAACCAGAACCUUGAGGAGAAUGGUCAUGUGUCUUAGGAACUAUCUGUAGUUCAAGAUCCAUGAAGAAUUCAAGAAAUAAAAUGCAAAAUGUAUUGAACAAUAAAAUCUCUUUAGAUCGCUCCGAAAACACCAGAACUGUAUGUAAAACAUGGGUCAAACAGUGAAUAUCUUCGACUUCAUGGGUCAUGGUGAUAGCUACUCAGCUCUGCCACUGGGACGUGAAAGCCUCAGUGCCUGGUACGUGAACAAAACAACAAGGCUUCUUUCAGUACCGCCUCAUUUUCAAAACUGGGACUUGGGAAGGAAUACAGGUUGCUGACCCUCUGUUCCAU